rnacentral:rRNA from 1 species
GACGAACGCUGGCGGUGUGCUUAACACAUGCAAGUCGAACGGUAAGGCCCUUUCGGGGGUACACGAGUGGCGAACGGGUGAGUAACACGUGAGUAACCUGCCCUCAUCUCUGGGAUAACAGUCGGAAACGGUUGCUAAUACUGGAUAUGAGCCUGCAAGGCAUCUUGUGGGUUGGAAAGAUUUUUUGGUUGGGGAUGGACUCGCGGCCUAUCAGCUUGUUGGUGAGGUAGUGGCUCACCAAGGCUUCGACGGGUAGCCGGCCUGAGAGGGCGACCGGCCACAUUGGGACUGAGAUACGGCCCAAACGCCUACGGGAGGCAGCAGUGGGGAAUAUUGCACAAUGGACGGAAGUCUGAUGCAGCAACGCCGCGUGCGGGAUGACGGCCUUCGGGUUGUAAACCGCUUUCAAUUGUGACGAAGCUUUUUGUGACGGUAGCAGUAGAAGAAGCACCGGCUAACUACGUG